GCUUGCCUUCUGCGUGGCCUAGGAUCCUCCACGGGCUGGGCCUACAAACUGCAGAGCAGCUCUCCUCUCAGCUGAUCGGCGGGUGGGCGGGGCUUCCAGAGAGGCCUCCGAGUAGGCCUCCCUGAAGCCUGAAUUCGGCAGGCCCCAAGGAAGCCAGGAAGAAGAAGGCAGGCAGAGUUCUCUGCAGCAGCAGCCCCUCUGCCCAGAACAUCCAGCACAGCUUUUGCCAGGGGACAAAAAUGCAUGAUUGAUUGAUUGAUUGAUUGAUUGAUUACAGCAUCAUUUCCUUGAUGGAUUUCACAGUUGCCAUCCAAAAUCCAGAAAAGUCCAACUGCAUUUCAUUCACAUGGUCAUAAAUAUUCAAAAAUACAAACAGCUGAAAGGCAACAUCAACCCUGGCUUCACAUCUUUUUGAGGAGCAAAUCCUGAUGUUAAACAACAUCGGAGACAAUAUGGAGCCCUGAGGGACACCGUAGAAGAGUUCAGAUUUUGAAGAACAACAGACUCCAAGAGACACCAUCUGGAAUCUGACCUUGAGACGGGCCAUGCGUGGCAACGUGGUAGGAAGGAGGCAAUUGGCUGAGUUUGCAAGCAGAAGCACCUGAUUGGGCAGUGGGGAUUCCAUAUGCAGAUAGAGAGAAGGAGCCUGUGAGAGCAGAAGUACCAUGGUGAUUGGGCAGUGGGGAUUCCCUAUGCCGAUAAGGAGGAGGGACCUGUGAUGGUUAAGGCACAAGAAAAGCAGUCUCUAGCUCAUGCCUGAAGCUUAGCUCUGAACCCAAGGCUCCAAGGACAAAGAACUGAAGGAUGAAGAAAUUUCAUUUUUUGCAUGAAUUUACCAUCCAGCUGCCUCCCUUCCUUGUCCCUUACAGGAUCUGAGACCAUGCCAUGUUGCCUAGGAUCUGGAAGACUUGGCUUCAAAUUCUCACUCAUCCAUGAUGCUCCCUGCCUGGGUGACUUGGGCCAGUUGUGAAGAAAGAAUGGGGUUAUAUAGAGCUACAUGGACACCAUCUUGAGCUCCAUGGGGGAAGAAUACAAUGUGGAUCUGUCCUUGGGACAAUCCUUUUCGACGUCUUUGUUCCCCCAACGACACACGAUCGUCAUCGGGAAGAAGACAAGAAGCCCUAUUUGAAUGUAAUCUGCAGGUAUGCGUGUCUCAGCAGAC